AAUGGAUAAUUAAACUGUGGUACAUCCACUCAGUGAAACUGAGUGAAGUACUGCUACAUGCUACAACAAGGAUGAACCUUAUGCUGCUUGUCCCUGCGCUUUGCCUCUCAGAACACCCUUGAUGUGUCCGACUGAGAGCCCCAUGGACCCAGAGUGUUUGUUGUGUAAAUACAACAAAGUAUUCAAAGCCAUUUCAAACCCCCUGGGGGCCCAGCCAUGAAUGAGGAAAUAGGACCACAGUUCUGUUUUGUUAGUCUUCAGAAACCUUGGGAAAAUCUGCAUAGAGGUGAAAUUCCUGUACAGACAGAAGAAACUGAAGUAUUCAUCAAGAAUGUUUACUUUAAUCAAGGAUGAAAAUCAGAUAUAAAGCAGUGUAGAUUAGGCUGUGUGACAAGGUAAUUGCUACCACCCUUAGGGCAGAUUCUAGGAAAUCAAAGUCUUUGAGUUCUAGGAAGAGUAUGGUCGCAAAGUUUAAACUUAAGGGAAACAAAGACGGGCAUUUCCAGAAGCAGUGCCUUUGGCUUAAUUUGACUCAACAGGGGGAUUCUGGCCCAGUCCAGACAGAUAAGAAUGACAGCUUCUCACUAGCAAUUCUAAGUUGGUGGAACAAUCCGUUUGGUUAGUUCUGAUGAGGAGGAAGAUUCUAGCAUGCUAACUAGUUAUGUGACCCUGAGCAGCCAGUGUUCCCCAACUUCUUACAGGGACAAGUUGUGUUCAGCCACCUCAAAUUGAGCAUUAGUAAGUCGGUGAUGCCUUCAGAUGGUCAAGGCUGCCGCAGCCAUACUGACCAGCUCUGGGCGUGCCUAACGUAUGCCAGCUGGUGUGGGUAACCCAUUGACCUCUAUUCCCCAUUCAGAACUGCAAUUACUCCUGAAGGAGGAGUUCCCAGUAAGUAUAGGUCUGUAAACUUACACUAAGUCCCUGCCCUUCAUACAUUCAGCCAGUCCCUCAUGCUGACUGUGUGGUGUUCAUAG
rnacentral:ncRNA from 1 species